rnacentral:rRNA from 1 species
CCCUCAAGACGAGGAUAACCGUUGGAAACCGAUGGCUAAGACUGGAUAGGAAUACGGGAGGCAUCUCUGUAUUUAAAGACCUGGCAACAGGUAUGCUUGGAGGAGGGGCCUGCGGCGCAUUAGUUAGUUGGUGAGGUGAUGGCUCACCAAGACGAUGAUGCGUAGCCGGACUGAGAGGUUGAACGGCCACAUUGGGACUGAGAGACGGCCCAAACUCCUACGGGAGGCAGCAGUAGGGAAUUUUCGGCAAUGGGGGAAACCCUGACCGAGCCAACGCCGCGUGAACGACGAAGUACUUCGGUAUGUAAAGUUCUUUUAAGAGGGAAGAAUGGCCCGUGGAAAAGCGGGCGUGACGGUACCUUUUGAAUAAGCCCCGGCUAACUAUGUGCCAGCAGCGGC